rnacentral:rRNA from 1 species
UAGGAUAGAGGCCUACCAUGGUCGUAACGGGUAACGGAGAAUUAGGGUUCGAUUCCGGAGAGGGAGCCUGAGAAAUGGCUACCACUNNNAAGGAAGGCAGCAGGCGCGCAAAUUACCCAAUCCCGACACGGGGAGGUAGUGACAAUAAAUAACAAUACGGGGUUCUUUAGGAUCUCGUAAUUGGAAUGAGUACAAUUUAAAUCCCUUAACGAGGAACAGUUGGAGGGCAAGUCUGGUGCCAGCAGCCGCGGUAAUUCCAGCUCCAAUAGCGUAUAUUAAAGUUGUUGCAGUUAAAAAGCUCGUAGUUGAAUUUCGGGAUUGACGCGUCGGUCGUGCCCUAAGGGGUAUGAACUGGCGUAGUCAAUUUCUCACCUUCUGGAGAACCGCGAUGCCCUUAAUUGGGUGUCGCGGGGAACCAGGACCUUUACUUUGAAAAAAUUAGAGUGUUUAAAGCAGGCAUUUUGCUUGAAUACAUUAGCAUGGAAUAAUAAAAUAGGACGGCAUGAUUCUAUUUUGUUGGUUUCUAGGAUCACCGUAAUGAUUAAUAGGGAUAGUUGGGGGCAUUAGUAUUCAAUUGUCAGAGGUGAAAUUCUUGGAUUUAUUGAAGACUAACUACUGCGAAAGCAUUUGCCAAGGAUGUUUUCAUUAAUCAAGAACGAAAGUUAGGGGAUCGAAGACGAUCAGAUACCGUCGUAGCCUUAACCAUAAACUAUGCCGACUAGG